rnacentral:rRNA from 1 species
UGGGGAAUAUUGGACAAUGGGCGCAAGCCUGAUCCAGCCAUGCCGCGUGUGUGAAGAAGGCCUUUUGGUUGUAAAGCACUUUAAGCGAGGAGGAGGCUACUUGGAUUAAUACUCUAGGAUAGUGGACGUUACUCGCAGAAUAAGCACCGGCUAACUCUGUGCCAGCAGCCGCGGUAAUACAGAGGGUGCGAGCGUUAAUCGGAUUUACUGGGCGUAAAGCGUGCGUAGGCGGCUUCUUAAGUCGGAUGUAAAAUCCCUGAGCUUAACUUAGGAAUUGCAUUCGAUACUGGGAAGCUAGAGUAUGGGAGAGGAUGGUAGAAUUCCAGGUGUAGCGGUGAAAUGCGUAGAGAUCUGGAGGAAUACCGAUGGCGAAGGCAGCCAUCUGGCCUAAUACUGACGCUGAGGUACGAAAGCAUGGGGAGCAAACAGG